rnacentral:lncRNA from 1 species
UCUCUCUUUCUCUGUCUGUCUCUCUCUCUCGGUCUCUGUCUCUCUGUCUCAGGCAGUGAGACACAGAGCAGCUAAUUGUGUGAAGGCCACACAGACAAUGUUUCUUCCUCUCAUUCCAGCUGCCUAGGCCCUACUGUACUCGCACACGCUGGGCUUCCUCCUCAUCGCUGAAAAGGGGCCUAGGACCAACACACACAGACCUGUGAUCCUGUUACACACCCGCUUUAAAUUCAACACAGACACAGAGAAGGAAGAAGUGGUUGUGGGGAGAGAAAGAGAAGGGAAAGAGAAACCAGCAGCCUUCCUGAGUGGAAUCAGUACCAGUGCCAACAAAAUUCUUUAAAAUGCCAAAUAGAUGCAUAGCAUUCAGUAUGCUCUAAAAUGUUCUAAUCUAGACUGACAUUCUGAGAGAGUGAGAGAGGGAAGCAUCCUCAGAGCAUCACAGGAUAGGACAGGACAAAGACAGGACAGAAUAGGAUAAUGACAGGUUAGGAUAGGACAUGAUGGGACAAGGGAAGGAUAGGACAGGGUAGGAUAGGACAGGACAGGACAGAAUAGGAUAAUGACAGGUUAGGAUAGGACAUGAUGGGACAAUGGAAGGAUAGGACAGGGUAGGAAGGACAGGACAGGACAAAGACAGGACAGAAUAGGAUAAUGACAGGUUAGGAUAGGACAUGAUGGGACAAGGGAAGGAUAGGACAGGGUAGGAUAGGACAGGACAGGACAGAAUAGGAUAAUGACAGGUUAGGAUAGGACAUGAUGGGACAAUGGAAGGAUAGGACAGGGUAGGAAGGACAGGACAGGACAAAGACAGGACAGAAUAGGAUAAUGACAGGUUAGGAUAGGACAUGAUGGGACAAGGGUAGGAUGGGACAGGGCAGGAUAGGACAGGGCUGGAUAGGACAGGGCAGGAUAGGCCAGGACAAGGACAGGUUUUGGAUGUAUUGAACGUAUGUGUCAAACUGUUUGUGUAGACGUCUUGACAGAAAUAGUAGCAGAAGGUGAAUGUUGAAAUGUUGUUGCAUACAUAUCCAGAUGAUGCUGCAAACUAUUUUGCGCAACGACGUUGUCGGUUUGAUCGAAGCGACAGGAUAGGACAAGGAUAGGAUAGGACAAGUACCUGCCAAGGCAAACCAAAGGACAGGGUUGGACAAUGAUAGGUUAGAAUAGGAUAGGACAUGGACCUGAUAGGACAAGGACAGAACAAGACUAGGAGAGGAUAGGAUAGGACAAGGUCAGGAUAGGACAGGAAAGGACAAAUCCAAGGACAGGUCGGUAGAGGAUAGGACAAGGACAGGCUAGGACAAGGACAGGUUAGUAUAGGACAUGAAAAUGAUAGGACAAGGUAGGGACAGGUUAGGAGAGGACAGGACAAGGUCAGGAUAGGACAAACCCAAGGACUAGUUAGGAUAGGACAAGGUCAGGGAAAGGCUGGGACAGGACUAACCAAAGGACAGGAUAGGACAAGGUCAGGGAAAGGCUGGGACAGGACUAACCAAAGGACAGGAUAGGACAUGGUCAGGGAAAGGCUGGGACAGGACUAACCAAAGGACAGGACAGGAUAGGACAAGGUAAGGGAAAGGCUGGUACAGGACUAACCAAAGGACAGGAUAGGACAAGGUCAGGGAAAGGCUGGGACAGGACUAACCAAAGGACAGGACAGGAUAGGACAAGGUCAGGGAAAGGCUGGGACAGGACUAACCAAAGGACAGGAUGGGAUAGGACAAGGUCAGGGAAAGGCUGGGAUAGGACUAACCAAAGGACAGGACAGGACAAGGUCAGGGAAAGGCUGGG